UUGGGCCGGGCCUUUACGCAAGAGCGUCGUUGCCCUGGUGACGUGACGUCCUUCCUCAGGAUUGUGCGCUGGGGUGGGGAAACAGACGUGCAACCGCCAUUUUGCGCAUUAAUUCACCAGAGGUCUGUUCAGGCUGUCUUAACGCAGGCAGAGGGGUGUUGCAGAUCUCCAACCGCUUGGGGUCCCGCGAUUUCCGUUAAUGAAUUCGCACACUGGCGUUACCACUCAACACACCGACGACUGCAUUGUACCAUCACUAGAAUCUAGUGCUUAAUGGCAACUCGCCCUUUCCAAAGGGUCUCAACAAGUUCAGCGAGGUGAAAUUCAGCUUUUGCCCUAUCAUCUGAAUUCACAGGACUUCCAUCUAACAUCUAAGCAAGACGAUAGACAACAAUUUGCUAAAUCUACAUUAUUGGACAUGAUGGUUAAGUAAAAAACAUCACACCAGAAUCAAGGAUUUUGUUAUCUGCGUGAGUCCUGUAACCAAUCCCCCAGAGAUACUGAUGGAUAGGAAGAAACAGAUUAACAGAGAGGUGGAGUCACAUAGCUGGUGAGGAGUGAAAUCGGGAUCCAAAUGCAGGAAUAUUGUCAUUUUAUGUGUGUCAUGAUGUGAAAAAGGUUGGGAAGCGCUGCUCUACACCAGUGUGCUACAGCUGCCUUGUCAAGAUGGUGGAGGUCCGAGAAAGAUUGGUUGGAUACUUGGGGCAUCAGAAGUGACCAAUGAUAAAGCAAGAUCAGCAGCAAGAUGGGGAUAGUGAAGUAGAGAAUAAAGAAAUGGUAGCAGUAAAAGGAAAGCAAUAGCUAGAAAGUACAAUGGAGUUAAGUGACUGAAUUGCUACAAGGUAAAGACUCUGGAGAGUUUACAACAGAUUAAAGAUUUAUAACCAAUUUAAAAAGCAGAUUUCAAAACCAUCAACAAAAGGAACACAACAUAAAAAUAAGAUGCCUAGAAGGAUUAAGUAGGGUCAGGCAGUAGUAAUCCAAAGAGGAAAGAUGCUAUACUUUCCAUGAUAACACUAAGCUUUUUGU